rnacentral:rRNA from 1 species
GAUGAACGCUGGCGGCGUGCCUAAUACAUGCAAGUCGAGCGGACGGACGCGAAGCUUGCUUCUCUGAUGUUAGCGGCGGACGGGUGAAUAACACGUGGAUACCCUCCCUAUAAGACUGGGAUAACUUCGGGAAACCGGCGCUAAUACCGGAUAAUAUUUUGAACCGCAUGGUUCAAAAGUGAAAGACGGUCUUGCUGUCACUUCUAGAUGGAUCCGCGCUGCAUUAGCUAGUUGGUAAGGUAACGGCCUACCAAGGCAACGAUGCCUAGCCGACGUGAGGGGGUGAUCGGCCGCAUGGGAACGGAGACGGGGUCAAGACUCCUGAGGGAGGGAGCAGAAGCGAAUGGUCCGCAACGGGCGAAAGUCUGACGGAGCAACGGCGCGUGAGUGAUGGAGGUCUUCGGAUCGUAAAACUCUGUUAUUAGGGAAGAACAUAUGUGUAAGUAACUGUGCACAUCUUGACGGUACCUAAUCAGAAAGCAACGGCUAACUACGUG